AUUGCUCACGUGUUGAGUUUGUUUGUGGCAUCUGUUUCCAUGUAUAGGUUAUAGAAAGUGACUCCAGGGAAGUGCCAACGUGUACGCUUAUCAGACUGUAUGACAUUUUAAUAAUAAAAAUGCAAAAAAGGAACGAUCCAUCGAUAGGGAAUCGGGAAAAACGCGGAAAGCGUCGCACCUGCGACGAACCCGUGGCCCGGCAACCUCCGCGGUCGAAGCUCGCAGCCCGACUGACUCCGGUACUCCAGAGCAGGACCAACUCCAAGGUGCGAUCAGCGACACUGAUUGACACUUAAUGUGGAUAUAAAUAAUACGCGAAUCAAGGGAUGAGACUAUUCUAUUUCGACAUUUCGUGUACGAUUACGGUAGGUACUCGGUUAACCCUUUCACCCCAGCAGGCUCACAAUGAGAUUUGAUCUCCAUGGAUGAAUCGGGUCACUUACGAAUAGAUA